rnacentral:lncRNA from 1 species
GUCCAGAGAGGGCACUGCUAUCUGAAAAAUAAAGUUGUGAUUAAUGUGGCCCCAAGACUUGCGCCUUCAAUCUCCAUGGUCCCCGCCUGGCAGACCUGACAGUAAAAACAACUUGUCUCUGCAGCCUCCUCCGGCCUCCCCUCGCACCCCGAAGUGGGUGCAGACAGGCCACACCCAAAUUACAUACCACCCUGGGCCAGAGCUGUCCGCCCAGCGAAGCUAAGUCCACCUUCCAUAAGACCAGGCCUCAUCCCCAGGUGGGUUCACAACCCCUUAUCUGGAAAAAAAGGGGUCUGCUGGUUUUGUCAAGAUCAAAGGCGACCUCCACUACGCACCUAGUCCUGCCCCACUGCCUGUCCUCUAUGAUUUCCGGGGCCUUCAAGGGCCCCCAG